GAUGAACGCUGGCGGCGUGCCUAAUACAUGCAAGUAGAACGCUGAAGGAAGGAGCUUGCUCUUUCCGGAUGAGUUGCGAACGGGUGAGUAACGCGUAGGUAACCUGCCUGGUAGCGGGGGAUAACUAUUGGAAACGAUAGCUAAUACCGCAUAACAGUAGAUGUUGCAUGAUAUCUACUUAAAAGGUGCAAUUGCACCACUACCAGAUGGACCUGCGUUGUAUUAGCUAGUUGGUGAGGUAACGGCUCACCAAGGCGACGAUACAUAGCCGACCUGAGAGGGUGAUCGGCCACACUGGGACUGAGACACGGCCCAGACUCCUACGGGAGGCAGCAGGAGGGAAUCUUCGGCAAUGGACGGAAGUCUGACCGAGCAACGCCGCGGGAGUGAAGAAGGUUUUCGGAUCGUAAAGCUCUGUUGUAAGAGAAGAACGAGUGUGAGAGUGGAAAGUUCACACUGUGGCGGUAUCUUACCAGAAAGGGACGGCUAACUACGUG
rnacentral:rRNA from 1 species